rnacentral:rRNA from 1 species
AAGCCUGAACGAGCGAUGCCGCGUGAAACGAUGAAGGUCUUCGGAUCGUAAAGUUCUGUUGUCGGGGAAGAACAGCUGAUAUGAGGUAAUGCAUAUCAUCUGACGGUACUCGACCAGAAAGCUCCGGCUAACUACGUGCCAGCAGCCGCGGUAAUA